GUUUUUCUUCCCCCACAGCCUGCCAGAACCUUGUUGUGUUAAAAAGUAAAAGAUGGAACAAAGCCCCAAAUUUGUCUUCCAAGUCGAUCGCUUUAUCAAUUCUCUAGCCCUCCAACACGAACUGUGUUAUAAAUGGGUUCCUGUGGCAAUUCUGAAAAAUCCUUUUCUUAUUAUCCAAAUUUAAUUCCAGCAUAAAUGAAAUUGCUCAUUUUGACCUCGGUUAGAUUCAGUUUUUUGGAUAAACUCGAAUACUGCUCACCCACCCAUUAUCCCACCUGCCUAAGCCGACUACAUUUGGCAUGGAAAAACCUUCAUGGCCUUUGGUAAUUUCCACCAGCUAGAGCCUCCAUGGUUGAAAUGAUGCUGCACCAUAUUCCCACUUUCACACAAGUUUUUUUCUCUUUAUUGAAUCAACAAUCAUGUGAUUUACCACCCAAAAACAAAUGAUGACCACAUCCUUUUCUUUCCCAUAAAUGUGUACCCGUUAGAAGCUUGAACGCCACCCACCAUAAUAGAAGAGCAGGUAAACAUGCAGAGGUCACGUGCCUGCUUUGGUUGCUGUAGAUAGAUAACCUAGUUUUAUUAGCAGGGGUGAAAAGAAAGCGAGAAAAGCUGCAUCUGAGCUGUGGUUAGCUUAGCUCCCUCCCUUCUGCUACAAUUUUGUCGGUGACCAGAUAACCUUUUCUUUUCCAAUAAAAAAAAUUUCGAUCCACAGAGAGAUUUUUGACAGGGGGGUGAGGUCCAUCAUCCAUCGCUGUUGCCUUUUUCCUUUGUCUUUUCUAUCGGCCCGUGUUAAUUUAAUUCCCUGGCGAGGUUGUUGAGUGAACUUCCUAUGUGAUAUAGACAUGUGAAUAUGAUAUAUUUUACUUGAAUCGAUUCAAAGGGCCUAAAAAUCAAAAUACAUUGAGGCUAAUAUACUAUUUUAUUGUUGACAUUUCCCAUUUCCCAUUUCCCAGCUCAAAAAAAAAAAAAAAAUCGUGUGUUCAUGGCGAUGUUUUGAACCUUGUGAUUCGUAUCUCUAUUUGGGAAGCCAUAAGGAAGCAGUGCUUGUCUCCUUCGUUGCCUGUCAUUUCUCCUUCGAGAGCUACUGACCACACCUCCAUGGCAGAAAUAAUUACCCAGUUCUUGCUAGACCAUCACAGAACCAGUGAUCCCAGAUUAGUGUCGGCUCGGAAGGAACAAAAGGUAGCCAGUAGAUAACACAGCGUGGUGGCAAAUUAUAAGCCAAAGCCACUAGAUUGUCAAGUUGCCUGCCCAGAAAUUGGGUUCUGCCUCCUAGGUUGCACAGCCCUCUUGUAAAAGAUGUGCCCAGCAAAGAAGCACAAGUUACAAAGGGAAAGUCCCAUGAACUGAAAGGGCAAAGUAGCCGCUUCAUGUCUUAUCAUGUGUCAGUGUCUGCGGGUUUUUUUCCUGGUAGAUACAAGUUGUUUGGCAUUGUUGAAUACGGUAGUGUUUACUUGUGCUCUUUUUUAAAAGUUGUAUUUUUAGAUUAUUUUUUAUUGAAUUAAUAUUUAUUGAUA